rnacentral:rRNA from 1 species
AUUGAACGCUGGCGGCAGGCCUAACACAUGCAUGUCGCACGAGUGGCGGACGGGUGAGUAAUGUCUGGGAAACUGCCUGAUGGAGGGGGAUAACUACUGGAAACGGUAGCUAAUACCGCAUACCAUCAGAUGUGCCCAGAUGGGAUUAGCUUGUUGGUGGGGUAACGGCUCACCAAGGCGACGAUCCCUAGCUGGUCUGAGAGGAGGACAGGCCACACUGGAACUGAGACAGGGGCCAGAAUCCUACGAGAGGCAGCAGUGGGGAAUAUAGCACAAUGGGCGCAAGCCAGAUGCAGCCAUGCCGCGUGUAUAAAGAAGGCCUUCGGGUUGUAAAGUACUUUCAGCGGGGAGGCGUUACCCGAAGAAGAAGCACAGGCUAACUCCGGGCCAGCAGCCGCGAUAAUAC